rnacentral:misc_RNA from 1 species
GAUGAAGAACGCAGCGAAAUGCGAUAAGUAAUGUGAAUUGCAGAAUUCAGUGAAUCAUCGAAUCUUUGAACGCACAUUGCGCCCCUUGGUAUUCCGAGGGGCAUGCCUGUUCGAGCGUCAUAUUAACCACUCCCGCUUGCGGGGUCUUGGGCUUCGCCUCCGGGCGGGCCUUAAAAUCAGUGGCGGUGCCGUCAGGCUCUACGCGUAGUAAAUUUUCUCGCGAUAGGGUCCCGGUGGAUGCUUGCCAACAACCCCCAACUUCUUAAGGUUGACCUCGGAUCAGGUAGGGAUACCCGCUGAACUUAAGCAUAUCAAUAAGCGGAGGA